rnacentral:misc_RNA from 1 species
CGACGAUUACUCUUCAGUCUUUACUCACAGUGUUUACCUAAACCCAAAGGCGGAGCAGAGAUGUAUUCUAGCUGCCAGAUUCGGUUUAUUGGGGAAAACCAAUGCUGGUAACCUUUCCAUUGAAUCAUUAAGCGGAAGAGUGCACUACAUAUUCCCAGGAAAAGCUAAGGCUCCUGUGGAUUUGGGAAAAUGUGAGAUAGAGGAGUUUUGGCUCAGUUUUCCCGCAGUCGCCUCCCUCCCUUGGCAUCAACAGAAUGGAUAAGCUCACCAUCAUCUCAGGGGCGUUGUUCCUGGCGGCAGACAUAUUCGCUGUGGUGAGCCUAGCCAUGCCUGACUGGAUAGUGUCAGACAUUGGAGGAGACACAAGAUUAGGACUCCUCUGGACAUGUGAGACUCUCUACAAAAGAUCACAAGUGUGUUAUGCUACUUCACUUGGAGGAGCUUGGCUUGUGACCUUGGGCUGUGUAUUGCUGGGGUGUCUCUGUGUCACUGCCACCAUUGUGCUGCUGGCACUCUCCCACUGCCGCCUCAGCACAAGCAUUAUGACAUAUGCCCGUUGGGUAGGCUUCUCUGCUAUGGUGCUGUUCUGUCUUGCUGCUGUUGUGUUUCCAAUGGGAUUUUAUGUUGAAGAAAUUGGGGGUGAACCAUACCAGCUGCCCAACAGCUUCCAGGUUGGCUAUUCUUACAUUUUCUUUGUGCUUGCCCUCUGGAUGACAGUGGUCUCUGAACUCUUUGCUGGAAAGGUCUGCCUCCCAAACUUCUAGAACAAUGGGAACCAAAACAAAACAUGCAGUUGGUGAUCUUGAUGUUGACAUGGGCAAGCUUCACAUUGUUCUUUAUAGUAUGAUGCUGUUAUUCCUCGAGAAUUCACACACCUGUCUAAACAAGAUAAGAUGACAGGCUGCAAGGAAGAACUAAAUGUUGCCAAAGAUAGAGAAAUUCCUGUACAAUACAUGUAGAGUAUCAAGUAAAUACCUAUCACCUCUCAUAUCUUAAUUUGAAGCACAAAGCUUGUUUUUAAUUUCAUGAUUAUAUUAUAGUACUUAAGCUUUUGUUCCUAAUUAUUAGUUACUUUGGUACCUGAUCCUAUAUGUGAAAUAUUCAGUUCUUUGAAUAAAUAUGCUAUUAGUACAGUCCAUGUAGAAAAUAUGAAAAAUAUAUCAUAAAUGAAGUAUGUAAUGUAUAUACAGUACACAUAUACCUUAUACAAAUUAUAUGUAUGUUUUUAGAAAAAUAAAUGGAAAAGAUUU